AUGUGACUGUCGUUUCACAUGACCUACAAAAAAUUGUCAAUAUUUUGUUCCAGGAAUAUUUCAGCAAGUUUACAAAGGCAGUUGAGCCGUUUCCAACGUCAACGUUAAGAUUCUGUACUUGUGUUUUGUGGCAGGGAGUAUACUAUCAUUAUAUAUGGAUGCUGUUCUGAAUGGUCAUAAAAGUAAUCAAGAAAGCAGAAAUGUCCAGUAAGGAUAUACAUUGGUUUCUUUGAUAGAGAUCUACAUUGUACUAAGAGAAGUAACAAGCACACAAGAUGAGUAAGUCCAAGCUGCGGCAAAAUGAGGCUCUUCCAAACCCAGCCUCACAUGAAGACAUCCUCUCGGCUAUUGAUAGCUUUGAACCUUCACCUGUCCAAGAGCGCAAUGUUAUGAUAACCAGUCAAACUGAAAAUGGAAUGGUAUUGGUUGAGGAUGCAACAGUUGCCAUAGAAACAGGGAAGAAAACAGAUAUGUUGAAUUCUCAAAACUCGUCAAGAAGAUCUAGUCAUUCUAACAGCUAUAGUGCUGAGUGGGAUAGGAUGUUCCAUUGUCCCAACUACUUGAAAGAUCUGAAGCUACAAGGUCUGGAGGGCAACUUACGUAGCAGUAGAUUCAGAAGUGUCUGUUGGAAGUUAUACUUGGAGACUCUACCAGAGAACAUCGAUGAUUGGAUCUCUGAGACACGCCAAAGAAGGGCUGACUAUGACCAUAUGAGGAGAAAGUACAUAAUUAAUCCAAGGUCAGAUAGCGUUGAGGAGAAUCUAGUGGUGAACAACCCUCUCUCUCAAAUUGAUGAGAGUCCUUGGAAUCGUUUCUUCCUUGACAAUGAAUUGAGACUCACAAUAAAACAGGAUGUUGUUCGAACUUUUCCUGAGAUAGAAUUCUUUAAGGAGGAAAAGAUUGAAGAGAUGAUGGUUAACAUUCUAUUCUGUCAUUGUCGUAAACAUCACAAGCUUUCUUAUAAACAGGGAAUGCAUGAGUUAUUGGCCCCAUUCAUAUUUGUACUACAUUGUGAUCACCAAGCAUUUGAACAUGCCACAGAGCUGGAGCAAGUCUCGGAACUAGUUAAAGAAGUACUCAACCCACAAUAUUUGGAACAUGAUGCAUAUGCCUUGUUCUGUAAGGUGAUGGAUACAGUGGAACCAUGGUAUGUCUCUAGAGACAUCUAUCCUGCCAAGCCCAGCAAAACAGAGAAGUUUACUAAGACUCCAUUCACCCAACCAUCAUGUGACUACCCUACCAAUGUCAUUGUAACCAAACUUAAUAUCAUACAAAGUGAGAUACUCAGUGAACAUGACAUGGAGUUGUACAAUCACUUAGAGAAAUAUGAGAUUGCUCCACAGGUCUAUGGCAUACGCUGGAUCAGGCUGUUGUUUGGACGUGAGUUUCCGAUGCAGGAUCUUCUAGUCAUGUGGGAUGCCUUGUUUGCAGAGAGUACAACCUUUGACCUUGUGGACUAUGUGUUUGUUGCUAUGCUGCUUUAUAUUAGAGAUAUCUUGCUAGAGAGUGACUACCCUACAUGUAUGACCACCUUGAUGCGAUACCCCCCAGUAGGAGAUGUACAUUUCUUUGUAGAGAAAGCUCUUCACCUUCAAAACCCCCAGCAAUAUCCCAAACCUCAUAAUUACACAUACCAGAAGCUGCAGCAUGUUAGGCAACAGAGUAAACAAAAAGAUGCAUCUGCAGGUAGUUGGGCUAACAUGUUAAAUCCUGCUGCUAACAUGAUGAAAUCUGGCUUAACUUCUCUAACUAAGAACAUUGAAAAGAUGAACACUGGUAUUAGUGCAGUCGGCACUCGUCCUGCUAACCUAACAUACAAACAAAAUGCCUCUGAACCAGCAGUGUCACCUAUUGGCAAAUCUUCUAGUGCCCCUUAUUUAGAAUCUGAGUCAGGAGACACUGUAGUAAAUGGUGUUCAAAGAAAAUCUUCCAUGAAUGAACAUGCGAGACCUUCAGCAUCAAGUAUGGCACGUUUGGAAUCCAAGACACCAGCCCUUAGUGGUAGUCUUCAAAACCUGGAUCAGAUGACUCCAGAGGACCCACCACCCAGUGGCUCCCCCUUUAAAUAUGCAACAUUACCCUCUAGGGCAAAAAUAAAUAAAAAGAAAUCAUCCAAAGAGGAGGUUGAACUUCAGCAGAACCUUGCCUUAGUCCAGGGACAGCUGAAUGAGUCCCAGGCCAUGUGUACAUACUGCGCAGGAAAGAUGGAUGAACAGAUAGGGAAAAUUCAGACAACAUUGUUGAGUCAGAAGUUGAAGAAUGAGGAUGAGUUACUGCUUGCUUUAGCUGGUCUUAAGCAGGUUAGAGAUAUCCUGAAAGGAACAUUAAAAUUUUCCCAGAAUUUACUACAUCUGGAUGAGCUAGAAAUAAGUGAUAACCAUUACAAACAAGAACCAAGACUAACAACAGAAUCAAGCAAACUGAAAUCACAGAUGUUUUACAUGAGUAGUGGCAAUAACACCCCUAGUAUAAGCUCCCCAGAGGAAGCCCUAGAGCUACCACUUAAGAGGCCCCCUAAACCUGUUAAGGAUCCAGUGCCAUCUAUUCCCACCCCAACUGAACUAAAAGACUUUAAAGACCUCCAUACUGAUACUGAAGCCCUCAAGUUUGGGGAUGUCAACAAAAAUGUGGUGAAUCACUCAGAAAUGAAUCCAUUCCACGAUGAUUCAGGAGAAUACGACGCUAGUUUAAAUCCAUUCGCAAAAAACUCAGAUGAACAUAAUCCAUUCCAUGAAGAUGAACCUAGAGAUGACUUCUCCAUGUUGUUGGAUGCUCCUAGUAUGUUACAGUCCUAGUAUUCCAUAUGCAUGCUCUCCUUGUGAUUUUACCAGUAUUGACAAAUACAUGUAUGUAUUAUUUAAAACGUGAAUGUAUCAUAUGGGGGAAGCCUCCUUGAGAGAUUAUGGCAACCUACCUGAAACUUAAGCAAGUGAUGCCUGGAUCAAAUUUACUCCAAUUCAUUGGCUGGCGCCCAGCCAAUUAAGUAUUUUAUUCGAAACUGAAUACAAUUUCAAACAGAAUACUCACUCGGCUGGGCACUGGCUGAUGAAUUGGAGCAAAUGUGACCCAGGCAUGACAUGCAUAAUAUCCUGCCCAUUUCUUGGC
rnacentral:misc_RNA from 1 species